CUCAGAAACUUAAAGGAAGUUGACGGGGGCCCGCACAAGCGGUGGAGCAUGUGAUUUAAUUCGAAGCAACGCGAAGAACCUUACCAGGCCUUGACAUGCAGAGAACUUUCCAGAGAUGGAUUGGUGCCUUCGGGAACUCUGACACAGGUGCUGCAUGGCUGUCGUCAGCUCGUGUCGUGAGGUGUCGGGUUAAGUCCCAUAACGAGCGCAACCCCUACCUUUAGUUGCCAUCAGGUAAUGCUGGGGACUCUAAAGGAACUGCCUACGCAAGUAGUGAGGAAGGCGGGGAUGACGUCAAAUCAGCACGGCCCUUACGUCCAGGGCUACACACGUGCUACAAUGGCCGAUACAGAGGGCAGCUACCUGGUGACAGGAUGCAAAUCUCCAAAGUCGGUCUCAGUUCGGAUCGGAGUCUGCAACCCGACUCCGUGAAGUUGGAUUGGCUAGUAAUCGCGCAUCAGCCAUGGCGCGGUGAAUACGUUCCCGGGCCUU
rnacentral:rRNA from 1 species